AAGAAGAGAGCGAGGGUCAGAGCGGAGACGGCGUGCCGGCUCCAGCAGCACAGCCUGGGCCUGCCGCAGCGCGGAGCUCCAAGCGAAGAGCAAGAAGACAGCAACCAAAAGAGAGGAGCGUGGAACUGAAGAAGGCUUCUCUGAGAGCUGCCGCUGCACGUGCAGAGUGCUCCGCAAUCAACAGCCUUGUGGAGAUGAUGCAGGAG